rnacentral:rRNA from 1 species
AUUGAACGCUGGCGGCAGGCCUAACACAUGCAAGUCGAACGAGUGGCGGACGGGUGAGUACUGUCUGGGAAACUGACUGAUGGAGGGGGAUAACUACUGGCAACGGUAGCUAAUACCGCAUACCAUCGGAUGUGCCCAGAUGGGAGUAGCGAGUAGGUGGGGUAAAGGCUAACCUAGGCGACUAUCCCUAGCUGGUCUGAGAGGAUGAACAGCCACACUGGAACUGAGACACGGUCCAGACUCCUACGGGAGGCAGCAGUGGGGAAUAUGGCACAAUGGGCGCAAGCCUGAUGCAGCCAUGCCGCGUGUAUGAAGAAGGCCGUCGGGUUGUAAAGUACUUUCAGCGGGGAGGCGUUACCCGCAGAAGAAGCACCGGCUAACUCCGUGCCAGCAGCCGCGGUAAUUC